UUUAAAAUGAAAUUGACUUGCCCACUUCAUGGUGUGUAUUCUCCUUUUAUCCCUCUUUUGUUGGACUAAUAUUUACUUUUGAAAAUAUUAGUCCAACAAAAGAGGAAUAAAACGAGAAUACACACCAUCAAGUGGGCAAGUCAAUUUCAUUUUUAA
rnacentral:miRNA from 1 species